rnacentral:rRNA from 1 species
AAGUCGAACGAGAAGCUUUUUAAUGAUCCUUCGGGUGAACUAAGAAGUGGAAAGUGGCGAACGGGUGAGUAACGCGUGGGUAACCUGCCUCAUGGAAAGGAAUAGCCUCGGGAAACUGGGAGUAAAGCCUUAUAUUAUUGAGUUGUCACAUGGCAAUUCGAUAAAAACUCCGGUGCCAUGAGAUGGACCCGCGUCCCAUUAGCUAGUUGGUGAGAUAACAGCCCACCAAGGCAACGAUGGGUAACCGGUCUGAGAGGGCGAACGGUCACACUGGAACUGAGACACGGUCCAGACUCCUACGGGAGGCAGCAGUGGGGAAUAUUGCGCAAUGGGGGAAACCCUGACGCAGCAAUACCGCGUGAGUGAAGAAGGUUUUCGGAUCGUAAAACUCUUUUAUUGGGGAAGAAGAAGUGACGGUACCCAAUGAAGAAGUCCCGGCUAACUACGUGCCAGCAGCCGCGGUAAUACGUAGGGGACAAGCGUUGUCCGGAAUCACUGGGCGUAAAGGGCGCGUAGGCGGUUUUAUAAGUCAGAUGUGAAAGGUACCGGCUCAACCGGUGACGUGCAUUUGAAACUGUAAGACUUGAGUACUGGAGAGGCAAGUGGAAUUCCUAGUGUAGCGGUGAAAUGCGUAGAUAUUAGGAGGAACACCGGUGGCGAAAGCGGCUUGCUGGACAGAUACUGACGCUGAGGUGCGAAAGCGUGGGGAGCGAACAGGAUUA